rnacentral:rRNA from 1 species
UACAGAGGGUGCGAGCGUUAAUCGGAUUUACUGGGCGUAAAGCGUGUGUAGGUGGCUUCCUAAGUCGGUUGUGAAAUCCCUGGGCUCAACCUGGGAAUUGCAGUCGAUACUGGGAAGCUCGAGUUCGGUAGAGGACGGCGGAAUUCCCGGUGUGGCGGUGAAAUGCGUAGAUAUCGGGAGGAACAUCGAUGGCGAAAGCAACCGUCUGGGCCUGAACUGACACUGAGACACGAAAGCGUGGGGAGCAAACAGG